AGCUUAGUGGCGAAGUGGUUUCGCGUCCGCGUAGCUUACGUAGACCCAUGAUAAUAAUUCCGCUGAAGACACCCGUUCGAUCCGGGUCUGGGUCA